GACGAACGCUGGCGGCGUGCCUAAUACAUGCAAGUAGAACGCUGAAGGAGGAGCUUGCUUCUCUGGAUGAGUUGCGAACGGGUGAGUAACGCGUAGGUAACCUGCCUGGUAGCGGGGGAUAACUAUUGGAAACGAUAGCUAAUACCGCAUAAUAGCAGUUGUUGCAUGACAACUGUUUGAAAGGUGCAAUUGCACCACUACCAGAUGGACCUGCGUUGUAUUAGCUAGUUGGUGGGGUAACGGCUCACCAAGGCGACGAUACGUAGCCGACCUGAGAGGGUGAUCGGCCACACUGGGACUGAGACACGGCCCAGACUCCUACGGGAGGCAGCAGUAGGGAAUCUUCGGCAAUGGACGGAAGUCUGACCGAGCAACGCCGCGUGAGUGAAGAAGGUUUUCGGAUCGUAAAGCUCUGUUGUAAGAGAAGAACGAGUGUGAGAGUGGAAAGUUCACACUGUGACGGUAUCUUACCAGAAAGGGACGGCUAACUACGUG
rnacentral:rRNA from 1 species